GACGAACGCUGGCGGCGUGCUUAACACAUGCAAGUCGAACGGAAAGGCCCUGCUUUUGUGGGGUGCUCGAGUGGCGAACGGGUGAGUAACACGUGAGUAACCUGCCCUUGACUUUGGGAUAACUUCAGGAAACUGGGGCUAAUACCGGAUAGGAGCUCCUGCUGCAUGGUGGGGGUUGGAAAGUUUCGGCGGUUGGGGAUGGACUCGCGGCUUAUCAGCUUGUUGGUGGGGUAGUGGCUUACCAAGGCUUUGACGGGUAGCCGGCCUGAGAGGGUGACCGGCCACAUUGGGACUGAGAUACGGCCCAGACUCUUACGGGAGGCAGCAGUGGGGAAUAUUGCACAAUGGGCGGAAGCCUGAUGCAGCAACGCCGCGUGCGGGAUGACGGCCUUCGGGUUGUAAACCGCUUUCGCCUGUGACGAAGCGUGAGUGACAGUAAUGGGUAAAGAAGCACCGGCUAACUACGU
rnacentral:rRNA from 1 species